rnacentral:rRNA from 1 species
GGCUCAGUAACACGUGGAGAACGUGCCCUUAGGCGGAGGAUAAUCUCGGGAAAUUGAGGAUAAUACUCCAUAGGUCACGGGGUCUGGAACGACCCGUGGCCGAAAGCCCCGGCGCCUAAGGAUCGCUCUGCGGCUUAUCAGGUCGUAGUGGGUGUAACGUACCCCCUAGCCGACGACGAGUAUGGGCCUUGAGAGAGGGAGCCCAGAGUUGGAUUCUGAGACACGAAUCCAGGCCCUACGGGGCGCAGCAGUCGCGAAAACUUCACACUGGGGGCAACCCCGAUGAGGGAAUUCCUAGUGCCAGGGCCUCUGGUCCUGGCUUUUCUCCGGCGUAGACGACCGGAGGAAUAAGGGCUGGGUAAGACGGGCGCCAGCCGCCGCGGUAAUACCUGCAGCCCGAGUGGUGGUCGAUUUUAUUGAGUCUAAAACGUUCGUAGCCGGCCCGGUAAAUCCCUGGGUAAAUCGGGAAGCUCAACUUCCCGAAUUCCGGGGAGACUGCCGGGCUUGGGACCGGGAGAGGCUAGAGGUACUUCUGGGGUAGGGGUAAAAUCCUGUAAUCCUGGAAGGACCACCGGUGGCGAAGGCGUCUAGCUAGAACGGAUCCGACGGUGAGGGACGAAGCCCUGGGUCGCAAACGGGAUUAGAUACCCCGGUAGUCCAGGGUGUAAACGCUGCAGACUUGGUGUUGGGGGCCCUUCGGGGGCGUCCAGUGCCGGAGAGAAGUUGUUAAGUCUGCUACUUGGGGAGUACGUCCGCAAGGAUGAAACUUAAAGGAAUUGGCGGGGGAGCACAAUCUCCAAGGUUC